CCGCCGCUGCCGCCGCCGCCCCUGCUGCUGCCAGCCCGGGGCGGCGGCGCCGGCCGCAUAACCCACAGGUACCGCCAAACGGCUAGAAGCUAGCCGUUUAGGACACCAGGGUGGAGGCGGUCGAGGACUCGUACUUCCAGUUCGGGGGCAGCUUGCGCACGCGCUUGUAGUAGCGAGCCAGGCGGUGGAUGCGGCUCUCCACCUGCAGGCGGGCGGAGGGAAGAGGCAGGGGCACACACAGGCACAGGCGGCAACCGGCGCGCAGACACGAAACAGCACGCGUCAGAGGCUUUCCACAAACGGGAAAUCGGGUAGGGCCGCUGGGCUGCACAACAGAUAGCGCCCGACCGCGGCUCCAGCAUUGGGCAGGGUGGUGGUAACUGACUGGCUGGCGGCGCCACUAAAUGCGGCUCCGGCGAGUGUGAUAUGUAUCGCCCAGUUGCUUCUCUGCACAGUCCAGGCGCCGCUGAGCCACACCAUUCCUGCCAACAUGUAUCCGUCCGCCGAUGCUGUAGGCACAGCAACCCGCACACGAGCAACGCCGCGCCGCGCCCGCAGGCUCCCUGGUCGCUGCGGCUACCGGCAGCUGCCCGGUAGCCUGCAGCGCCAUAAGUGCUUCAAGCAUCCCCGCAGGCCCCCAUGCGUCCGCAGGCAUCCGGAGCCAGCUACGGGCGCUGAAGCUGCCUGUGCCAUUGCUCCUCAAUCAAGCGGCUGCGCCCGACAAGUAGCUGCUUUUCCUUGGGUUCUGAGUUCCGAGUCCAAUAGUGCCCUGCCUAACCGACAUUGUCGCGCGCGGACAACAGCUGUGUGCAGCACUGCGCUGCCUGGCCGCCUGGCUGUCCCCGCUGUAGCCAGCUUCCGGCCUCUAGACUGACAGCCACCUUCGGCACUGCCGCCAAGCCACCCAGCCGCCGCCAGGGUCCACACGGGAGUGAGUUUGCAACUGCUGGCACCCGCUGGUGCAAUGUCCAGCACCAGUGUGCCGCCGCACGCAGUCUCCUAGAGUGCAUCAACCCACAGGCACUCGUACCAUACCCAUGCACGCUUAGUACUUGUUAUCGCCAUGUGCAUGACUUCUGCCACACACCAGCGCAAUUGGCGUACCCACACCACCGCCCUACCCCUGCAUGUGGUGGACCCAAGCGCUCACCAGAAUGAGGCGGAACUUGCCGUCCUUGUCCUUCCGGUUGCGCUCCAGGUGCUUGCGGAUCGACACUGCGUCGUUAGCAGAAAUGGCGAAGCGUCAGCAACCGCACGAGGCGGAACCGAGCGCUUGCCGAGGCACGAGGCCCCCUUGGGCCUGCUGCUCGGGCAGCUGCAUAGUGCUCGUGGCGACUGCUGGGGCUCACCGGCCUUCUUGAUCAUGAAGUACAGGUCCUCAGGGAUCUCGGGGGCCAGACCCGCGCCCUUCAGGAUGCGCAGGACCUUGCUGCCAGUCACGGUGUUGAUGAGAGGCACGCCGUGCUGGUCACGCAGCACGAUGCCGAUUUGCGAGGGG
rnacentral:lncRNA from 1 species